GUAAUGCCUACUGCACCUAGGCUAUAAACCUGCACAGCAUGCUACUGUACUGAAUACAGUAGGCAGCUGUACCACAAUGGGCAUUUCACAGGAGGAUUUUCCCACUACGGAAAAAAAGUAAAAGAGAAUAGAAAAACCACUCUUGUGCUACUUUGGGAUAAAACAAACAACAGAGUUGUUCUCUGAUGGGGAAGUUAGCAGGUUGUCAUUGAUACAACUCCACAGAGGGAAAGAAGGUGAUUCGGAAGACUCUUACUGUGCUCACAGCAUCAAAAAGCUCUUUCACUCAGAGAUUCCGCAGAAGCUGCUGAGACAAGAACAUCACUUAGUAUCAACACUGCAGGUCCUCCAAGAAACAACACCAAGAGGCCAAGACAGAAUUAGAUAGAUAAGAAAUUUCUCGGGAGGAGCCAAGAUGGCCGAAUAAGAACAGCUCCGGUCUACAGCUCCCAGCGUGAGCGACACAGAAGACGGGUGAUUUCUGCAUUUCCAUCUGAGGUACCCGGUUCAUCUCACUAGGGAGUGCCAGACAGUGGGCGCAGGAGAGAAUUUGUACUGAAUCAACACCUCAGACAAAUCCCACCUGGAGUGGUUCCAAGGAAAAUGGUGAGAGAAAUAGUGAAUUCAGUAAAGAGAAAAGACAUAUGAAGAAGAAGAAAGAAGAAGAAGAAGAAGAAGAAGAAGAAGAAGAAGAAGAAGAAGGAGGAGGAGGAGGAGGAGGAGGAGGAGGAGAAGGAGAAGGAGAAGGAGAAGGAGGAGAAGGAGAGGAAGAGGAAGAAGAAGAGAAGAAGAAUAAGGAGGAGGAGGGGAAGGGGAAGGAGAAGGAGAAGGAGAAGAAGUUGAGAUACUGAUAAUAAAAACUAGGUUAGGGCCAGAGUGAAUAUGCAAGUAAGAAGACAAGUUCAGUAGAAAAUGGUAAGAGAAAAAAUUCAGGAAAAAAGGCUGGAGGCAUUCACAAAAGGAGUUUGCCCAGGAGUCAGGCAGUAUCUUGCCUGGAAGAUGGUCUCUGCACUAGUCUGUGUCUAAAUCCACUUCUUACAGAAACAUACCUUACAGCUAACAUCUGGCAAGGAUGUUACAAAUCCCUGUUUUUCCAUUUUGGUGCAGUUUAUGCAACAGUUCCAAGGUUUUUAUCUCCUGAUCCUCAUUUUAUUUAUCUGUAUAAGGGCUGCUAUUGCUAAUCUAAUGGAUUUUUGGCUAUAAAGCAGUCUGAGGAAUAAUUGUCCCUGAUAUGAGCAUAAUGUAGGCUGCUUAAUGUUUUUACGGUGGGGUGUGCCCAGUUACACAUGAUAGGUUAUACAGACACUGCAGAUUUUGUGUUCUGAAAUUGCCUUAGCAUCCAUUAGCCCACACCAGAUGAACAUGCAGAGUAAGACAACAAGAAAAGGCAAAAUACCAAGGGAGGAAGAUGCAAAUCUACACAGAAUAAAUCUACUGCUGUCAGAAGCUCAGACAAACUCUGUCAAGAGAGAUGGCAAGGCUUGAUUCUAUGCACACAACAGAGUUUCAGGCAGGAAUUUUCUGUACAUAUCAUGGGUGUAUACAGUUGCUCAGAAAAAGUACAGGAAAAAAUAGCUCUUUUAAAACCAAUGUAAAGUUUCUGAUUCUUCAUCCAUCCAUUCAUCCACUUAUCCAUCCAUCAUCUAUCUACCCACUCAUUCUUCAUUCACUCAUUCGUCUAUCCAUCUGUCUAUCCAUCCAUUCAUCUACUCACCAUCCACCAUCCACCCACCCAUCCAUUCAUCCAUCUAUCCAUCCAACCAUCCAUCCAAACACCUCUACCAUAUGUAUUUUUCAAAGUUGUCUUUCUUACCAUUGUGAUACAUGUUUAUCUUAUGUUACUCCUAAAUAGUAAGAGAAGAGACCGUACGAAAUAUAGUUAAAUUAUUUUAAUAAACACAUCUAACUUCUAAUUUGAGACCUCUUUUCCUCCUCCUCAGUGAGGAGAACUUAACUUUAAUUCAUUCAGAAUAAACAAAAGAAUUUUAGAAUGUUCUCAGUCAAGUUGGGGAUUCCCGUCUGUCUUUAGGUCUUUGGACUGGUUCUCUUUAAGCUUCAGAUCACUGAACAAUGCCAAUCAUAUGACUGUGAGAGCAUGUGGUCUUUGCUCAUUGUAAUCUAUCCACUCUGGCGUCUACUGACCUUGUCUAUGUCUCUCCUGGUCCCCAGUUAUUGGUCCACAGAGGUCUUUGUAUAUCUACCUUCUUGAUCCUUAGGGCACUCAGCCAACUUGCUCUUUUCCUGACUUCUGUUCCUUUCCAUGAAUAUGGGACACUUGAGCAUGCUCUCCUCUGACACUCCAAGGCUGGGAAUAUUCAAGAGCCCAGCUCAGACCCUCUUUUUUUCCACAUGCCACUCCACAUUACUGACUAUGCAUACCACUGCCAUGCUCUGCAAGAAAAUUUUGCCAUGUUCCUGGCCAGCUCCCACCACCUAUUGGUUGGUUGUGAUAAUGAACCACACGGCGUUUGGUCAUUAGAUUCUCAAAUAUGUCUCCAUAGUUUAUAUUUUUGAGUUCUUUCACUGUACCCCUCUCAUAGACCAAAAAGUAGGGGGAGAAAUUGGAGGCUAGAUCUUAUUUGUGGGACAACACCCAUGUCUAAAAUGUUAUUUCUCUAUAUAGUUUCUCCCGUUCUGUCUAUGGGAACUUUAUGGACUUCAAGGGGUGAAAAGUAACUCUUUCAUCAUGUGUUCUUGGCAACCUGUUGGUCACAGUACCUUUCAUGUUCUGAUUCUUUCAAUAUUUAUGCUAUUUUGAAAUAAAACCUUGACUUCCAAGACUAAUUUAUGCCAUGAGUUUCAAAAGAUUAUUUGGAAAAGCAGAAAUUGAACAUUAACUUGUGUGUACAUGUGUGUUUGUUUCCACUAAAACAACUACUUUACCUGAGGCAUGGAAGUCCAGGAGUGUAAUACACAGGCCUGUUGGAGUGGGGUGGGAAACCUUUGUUAAGGUGUCAACUUAUCAUCCUACCACAUUCCCCAGGCAUGUGACAACCUGGAGUCCUGCUUCACCUCCUGCAGCCACCCUCCACUCACCCUCCACUUGUGCUCUGUGCCCUGCUUUAAUUGCCCUCAGAUCCACUUAAACCUGACAUAUUGCUCUAAGAGUCUAUGACUUUGACAAAAAUUCUUGCUUUGUUGUAAAUGCCUUUCCUAUAUGGGAAACUCUUAUGCUUUCUCCCAAACCCAAUUCAAGAGUUUGUUUCUUCAAAAUCUUCCUUGAAAUUCCUAAACUAAAUGGAACAUUUUCUUACCACCAAAUUGACUAUUUGAAACAUACAUUUCCAGUAUUUAAUAUAGUGCAUGGCACAUAGAUACUCAGAAAUUAGCAGAAGGGAGUUUCUAAGUAAGAAAAAAGAAUGAAGAGAAGGAAAUAGAAAGUAUUAUUUCAUACCCCAGUGAGUAAAGUGCUGGUAAAUAACAAAAGCUAACAUUUGCCUAUUGCCUACUUUGUAUUUGUCACUAUGCUACAUACUUUACUAAGAUUAUUUCAUUGGGCAUGACAAUUUUUACCCCUUUUUUUGUAUAUAAAGAUUCUAAGCUACAGAUAAGUUGAGAAACUUAUGCAAGAUUUUUGAUGUUCUACUGAAAGGCUAGGGAAAAUUUCCUUAGCACCUGCCUUAGAUAUUGUUCUAGUGCCUUUUUCCACCGUUCUUUGCUUUUUCAUGAGCUUUUCUUGGAUGUCUACCUGCCACCGACCACAUUCUCUUCCCAAGACCUAAGGCUCUGUUUAUUGGAUAUUAAAACAUAAUAUCUGGCAUCAGAAAACCGUUCUGUAAGUACAAUCCUAUCAUAUUUUAUCUUCAGUGCCUUAAGUUCUUGAAGCCUAUUUAUCUUUCAAAUGUACUUUUUUUUGUGAAGACCAAAAAAGUUAACUUAUAUACUCCAUAAAUGUAGUUUUUAAUUCCAUCUUCCACCAAGACAGUUAUCCAGAGCCCAUUCUUAUAUGUUUAUGCUCUUCUGGUCUUAAAACUCUUGCUGUUGCACCCCUAAUUAAUGGGUUAGUUAGGUGAUAAGAAGCACUGUGAGGAGUUCUUAAGAUGCAGGAUAAAACUCUCUGGCACCAUGAUGACUGCAAAUAGAAAUGAGGUUGGUUGGAGGGCAUGCAAUAGGUACUUUGGAACACCAGGGUUUACAGUAUUAAAUCCAACCCAUACUACUCCCUGCCUCCCCUCUAACAGGCAGCACCAAAGAAGCACAGCCUUCAACCUAAAUGGGUAUAAUUUAUUUGUAUUCUUUUUCUAAUUUCAUGGCCUGGCUGAAAAUAUAUUGGAUCAUAUCUCUUUUGAUUGAAGCAAGUCUAAAGAAGAAGGCAAG